rnacentral:rRNA from 1 species
AUACGUAGGUGGCGAGCGUUGUCCGGAUUUACUGGGUGUAAAGGGUGUGUAGGCGGCCAUGCAAGUCAGAUGUGAAACCUCGGGGCUCAACUCCGAGCUUGCAUUUGAAACUACGUGGCUUGAGAGUCGGAGGGGUAAUCGGAAUUCCCGGUGUAGAGGUGAAAUUCGUAGAUAUCGGGAGGAACACCAGUGGCGAAGGCGGAUUACUGGACGACCACUGACGCUGAGACACGAAAGCGUGGGGAGCAAACAGGAUUAGAUACCCUGGUAGUCCACGCUGUAAACGAUGAAUGCUAGGUGUGAGGGCGCAAGCUUUCGUGCCGGAGUAAACACAAUAAGCAUUCCACCUGGGGAGUACGGCCGCAAGGUUGAAACUCAAAUGAAUUGACGGGG